GAUGAACGCUGGCGGCGUGCCUAAUACAUGCAAGUCGAGCGAACGGACGAGAAGCUUGCUUCUCUGAUGUUAGCGGCGGACGGGUGAGUAACACGUGGAUAACCUACCUAUAAGACUGGGAUAACUUCGGGAAACCGGAGCUAAUACCGGAUAAUAUUUUGAACCGCAUGGUUCAAAAGUGAAAGACGGUCUUGCUGUCACUUAUAGAUGGAUCCGCGCUGCAUUAGCUAGUUGGUAAGGUAACGGCUUACCAAGGCAACGAUGCAUAGCCGACCUGAGAGGGUGAUCGGCCACACUGGAACUGAGACACGGUCCAGACUCCUACGGGAGGCAGCAGUAGGGAAUCUUCCGCAAUGGGCGAAAGCCUGACGGAGCAACGCCGCGUGAGUGAUGAAGGUCUUCGGAUCGUAAAACUCUGUUAUUAGGGAAGAACAUAUGUGUAAGUAACUGUGCACAUCUUGACGGUACCUAAUCAGAAAGCCACGGCUAACUACGUGCCAGCAGCCGCGGUAAUACGUAGGUGGCAAGCGUUAUCCGGAAUUAUUGGGCGUAAAGCGCGCGUAGGCGGUUUUUUAAGUCUGAUGUGAAAGCCCACGGCUCAACCGUGGAGAGUCAUUGGAAACUGGAAAACUUGAGUGCAGAAGAGGAAAGUGGAAUUCCAUGUGUAGCGGUGAGAUGCGCAGAGAUAUGGAGGAACACCAGUGGCGAAGGCGACUUUCUGGUCUGUAACUGACGCUGAUGUGCGAAAGCGUGGGGAUCAAACAGGAUUAGAUACCCUGGUAGUCCACGCCGUAAACGAUGAGUGCUAAGUGUUAGGGGGUUUCCGCCCCUUAGUGCUGCAGCUAACGCAUUAAGCACUCCGCCUGGGGAGUACGACCGCAAGGUUGAAACUCAAAGGAAUUGACGGGGACCCGCACAAGCGGUGGAGCAUGUGGUUUAAUUCGAAGCAACGCGAAGAACCUUACCAAAUCUUGACAUCCUUUGACAACUCUAGAGAUAGAGCUUUCCCCUUCGGGGGACAAAGUGACAGGUGGUGCAUGGUUGUCGUCAGCUCGUGUCGUGAGAUGUUGGGUUAAGUCCCGCAACGAGCGCAACCCUUAAGCUUAGUUGCCAUCAUUAAGUUGGGCACUCUAAGUUGACUGCCGGUGACAAACCGGAGGAAGGUGGGGAUGACGUCAAAUCAUCAUGCCCCUUAUGAUUUGGGCUACACACGUGCUACAAUGGACAAUACAAAGGGCAGCGAAACCGCGAGGUCAAGCAAAUCCCAUAAAGUUGUUCUCAGUUCGGAUUGUAGUCUGCAACUCGACUACAUGAAGCUGGAAUCGCUAGUAAUCGUAGAUCAGCAUGCUACGGUGAAUACGUUCCCGGGUCU
rnacentral:rRNA from 1 species